rnacentral:rRNA from 1 species
AGGACGAACGCUUGCGGCGUGCCUAAGAAAUGCAAGUCGAACGGGGGCUUCGGCCCUAGUGGCGAACGGUCGCGUAACACGUGGGCAACCUGCCCUGAAGCGGGGGACAACAGAUCGAAAGGUCUGCUAAUACCGCAUGUGGUCUGUGGAGGCAUCUCCAUAGCCUAAAGUCUUUGGACACUUCAGGAUGGGCCCGCGGCCUAUCAGCUAGUUGGUGGGGUAACGGCCUACCAAGGCUUCGACGGGUAGCUGGUCUGAGAGGACGACCAGCCGGAUUGGGACUGAGAUACGGCCCAGACUCCUACGGGGGGCAGCAAUUAGGAAUCUUGCGCAAUGGGGGCAACCCUGACGCAGCGACGCCGCGUGAAGGAUGAAGUCUUUCGGGAUGUAAACUUCUUUUCUCAAGGAGAAGAAUGUGACGGUACUUGAGGAAUAAGCCCGGCUAACUACGCGCCAGCAGCCGC